UGUAAAAAACAAAUGAAAAUCCAAAACAGCGGUGAGUGUUCAGCUCAAAAUCUAAAGGUCCGCCUAUGUGAGUCGAUUAUAAAUACAUAUAUAAAAAAAAUCAUCUGUUCAUAAUAGAUUCUCUUCCCCAUUUUUAUUUUCUCGAUAUCUCUUAGACGGAUGGUGUGAGCAAGCAAUUAAGUGGAAGUCACCCGUCUAAUUUUAGUUAAAAAGCUAUUAACCACUUCGGAAACCCUUUUCUAGGUUUGUCUCUUAAAUCUUAUUCUUUUCAAAGGUUGUAUAAUCUAAGGUUUCGACAUCUUAGGAAGAUUUGUUUAUAGAUAUGUUGAAGCUAAGGUCGUCUGGUCUGAGUUGUGGAGUUUGUGCGAAUUUCCAAAUACCCAUUUCACGUUGUUUCAUGAAUUCAAUAACAACAUCCUCCAUUGAUGUAAAACCCAAGGUUCCACUCUAUCUAAGGCCACCUUCCUUCUCUGCCUCUCUUUCAGAGCUGACCAAAUGGCAUAAAUGGGCUAAAAAUCUGGCUUCCUCAGUUGGCUCCUCUUUUAUUAACUUAGACAAUGGCCCCGAUUCCACUCUCCUCCGCAGAGAGCUCAACUGGCUUCUACAAGACUUGAUUGAACUCCAACACCGUUCAGUAAUAUUGUCUCGAUUGGAAUCGGGUAACAAUGAGAAUCCAGAUGUAAGCGUUGCGUUAAGAGCGCCAUUGGAGGAGAUGUAUUGUGUUUGGAGGCAGAGGAUUGAAAAGAGGAGACCUUUUCAGUAUGUGGUAGGGUGUGAACAUUGGAGGGAUUUGGUGUUGAGUGUGCAAGAAGGGGUUCUUAUUCCUCGGCCUGAAACUGAAGUGAUAAUUGAUUUGGUUGAAGGUGUGGCUUUGAACAAUGCCCCAGAAUUGGCACAAGGUUUUUGGGCCGAUUUGGGGACGGGCAGUGGUGCUAUUGCUAUUGCAACUGCAAGGGCCUUAGCAACUCAUGCUCACGGCGAUGCUUGUGGCAGAGUCAUUGCUACUGAUUUAAGUCCGGUGGCAGUUGCUGUGGCCACUUCUAAUGUGCAAAGAUAUGGUCUACAGGAUGUGGUUGAGGUGAGGAAAGGAUCUUGGUUUGAACCAUUGAAAGAUGUUCAAGGUAAACUUGCUGGUGUUUUGAGUAACCCACCGUACAUACCAAGUGGUGACAUAUCUGGCCUACAAGCUGAAGUUGGUCAACAUGAACCAAUACUUGCAUUAGAUGGUGGUAUUAGUGGAACCAAUGAUCUUCUUCAUCUCAUUGAUGGAGUUGCCUCCAUGUUGAAACCUGGAGGCUUUUUCGCUUUCGAGACAAAUGGAGAAAAGCAGUGCAAGUUUCUUGUGGAAUACAUUGAGAAUGAGAAGCCAGGCAGCUUUCGUGAUAUGAACAUAGUAUCUGAUUUUGCUGGUAUCCAACGUUUUGUGAUGGGAUUUCGUCGAUGAAUGGAAUGAUCGGUAAAAUACCUUGGUUUACAUUGGUCACGAAGAACAAAAAGCAAGGAAAAGGUCACUGUUCCAAGCAUUGUCCCAAUUACCUCAACCAGGAAUGGAAGUUUAACACCCUCAAGCUCCCCAUCAAGUCUGCCCGAUGUCCAUAGUCCAACAACGAUGAGGUAAAAUAAGAAAUAUUAGCAAUUUGAGCUUUCAUUUACAAGAGAAGAAUUUACAGUAUUUCUCACCGCCUUUGUCUUAUAAUACGUCUUGAUGGAAACAAGUUGAGGUACAUGUGGUUGAAUAUGAAGGUCUGACAUCAAUAACAGUGAGACGCGAGAUAUUCAGUUUCAAGCUAUCAACCAUCUCGUGCCGAAGGCACAACCCAUUAUCAUUCAGCACUCUUGCACCAGUGUUGCAAACAAGAGCUGAAGAUGAGUAGAUGAGUGAUUUUCUAAAAUUUUUAAUCAAAUAAUUCAGAUAAUAACAAAAAAGUUAUGGCUCUCAAAGAUCGCUAAAGAUUGUAUCUUGCUUUCUUAUCCUCUAAACAAAAAGAGCAUAUUAAUGGGAACAAGGACAACUGGGUUCGACACUACCAGCAGAGGCCAACUUAUGGCUGCGCUCCCAAGUAUCCACUGGUGUAGCAUGUUCAUGAGGGAUGUGCCGGGGAUGUUUCUCUCUUUUGUCACCCUUUACCUGCUUUAGUGCAUGCUUAAGGGCAGGCAACAAUGCCUCCAUGCAUUCUGCGACUGCAUUUGGAUUCCCGGGCAUGUUGAUGAUCUGGAUACAUGAUUAGAAUUAGAAACAUGUACUUUUAAAAGCACAUGUUCAUGAUCUUGAUAUACUGAUAGCAUAAGAAACAUGUUCUAUAAAAGAACAGUAUGAACAGCAAUUCCUAGUUUCACACGAUAUGGUUUGAUUUUUUGAUUAA